CUCCGCUAAGAGGAGGUUUAAUACUGCUCCCUCUGCUGAUUGUUUUGCUGCAAUCUUGCCUUUCAGUUUGUGACACCAGCCUAAGUCACCACACACUUGUGAUGUGCCACUGAAGGUCCCAGGCAGUUGUGGCAUCCUCCUUUGGCCACUAAUGAUGGUCACCACAGAUCAACGAGGCUUUUUGGUUAACAGGAUAAUAAAUGCACAAAAAUUUGCCCUGCAGGACUGCUUUCCAUGGCAGCAAAUUCCCAAAGGACAAUUUUGAAGCAGCUAUGCUAGAAGAUCCAUACUGGUAGAGACCAGAAUCAGCGUGUUUGUUUUUUUCCUCUGAGCGUCACUGGAUUUUGAGGAAACUGCAUUCCAACCUGCUGCACUUUAAAAUACACCUCUUUCUCACUAGCACAGCUAUUGUGUGUCCCAGUGCACUGGAGAGACUAAAACAAGAGAGCGAUGCAAGAUCCUAUCCUCAACAAGGCCCGUCAGGAUGGACCUUGAGCACAGACCUGCACAGUGAGCACUCAGCUCCUUAGUUUUUCUGGAGUUCCCCUCAUUUUCUUACCUCCUGCAUAGGAGGCCACUGUCAGCACCCAACAGCCUGCUACAGCAACUUUGAAAGCUUCCCUUGCUUUGAGGAUGUUCCUCUCUCCACUCCUGUGAGAGGGUUGGAGUCACUAUGAAGCAAUGGCACAAGACAAAGUACACACAUCACCACACAGAGUGCUGA